GUGAGGAAUAUUGGUCAAUGGACGCAAGUCUGAACCAGCCAUGCCGCGUGCAGGAUGACGGCUCUAUGAGUUGUAAACUGCUUUUGUACGAGGGUAAACCCGGAUACGUGUAUCCGGCUGAAAGUAUCGUACGAAUAAGGAUCGGCUAACUCCGUGCCAGCAGCCGCGGUAAUACGGAGGAUUCAAGCGUUAUCCGGAUUUAUUGGGUUUAAAGGGUGCGUAGGCGGUUUGAUAAGUUAGAGGUGAAAUACCGGUGCUUAACACCGGAACUGCCUCUAAUACUGUUGAGCUAGAGAGUAGUUGCGGUAGGCGGAAUGUAUGGUGUAGCGGUGAAAUGCUUAGAGAUCAUACAGAACACCGAUUGCGAAGGCAGCUUACCAAACUAUAUCUGACGUUGAGGCACGAAAGCGUGGGGAGCAAACAGG
rnacentral:rRNA from 1 species